rfam:Gossypium arboreum cultivar AKA8401 contig_3660_11, whole genome shotgun sequence.
CAGUCAGAGGAAUGAUGUAUUACAGACGAGCUUUGAAAAUUCAGGCUUUUCUCGACAUGGCUACUGAAAAUGGUAUGUUCUCUG